rnacentral:rRNA from 1 species
GUCGCAAGACCAAAGAGGGGGACCUUCGGGCCUCUUGCCAUCAGAUGUGCCCAGAUGGGAUUAGCUUGUUGGUGAGGUAACGGCUCACCAAGGCGACGAUCCCUAGCUGGUCUGAGAGGAUGACCAGCCACACUGGAACUGAGACACGGUCCAGACUCCUACGGGAGGCAGCAGUGGGGAAUAUUGCACAAUGGGCGCAAGCCUGAUGCAGCCAUGCCGCGUGUAUGAAGAAGGCCUUCGGGUUGUAAAGUACUUUCAGCGGGGAGGAAGGUGUUGUGGUUAAUAACCGCAGCAAUUGACGUUACCCGCAGAAGAAGCACCGGCUAACUCCGUGCCAGCAGCCGCGGUAAUACGGAGGGUGCAAGCGUUAAUCGGAAUUACUGGGCGUAAAGCGCACGCAGGCGGUCUGUCAAGUCGGAUGUGAAAUCCCCGGGCUCAACCUGGGAACUGCAUUCGAAACUGGCAGGCUUGAGUCUUGUAGAGGGGGGUAGAAUUCCAGGUGUAGCGGUGAAAUGCGUAGAGAUCUGGAGGAAUACCGGUGGCGAAGGCGGCCCCCUGGACAAAGACUGACGCUCAGGUGCGAAAGCGUGGGGAGCAAACAGGAUUAGAUACCCUGGUAGUCCACGCCGUAAACGAUGUCUACUUGGAGGUUGUGCCCUUGAGGCGUGGCUUCCGGAGCUAACGCGUUAAGUAGACCGCCUGGGGAGUACGGCCGCAAGGUUAAAACUCAAAUGAAUUGACGGGGGCCCGCACAAGCGGUGGAGCAUGUGGUUUAAUUCGAUGCAACGCGAAGAACCUUACCUGGUCUUGACAUCCACAGAACUUUCCAGAGAUGGAUUGGUGCCUUCGGGAACUGUGAGACAGGUGCUGCAUGGCUGUCGUCAGCUCGUGUUGUGAAAUGUUGGGUUAAGUCCCGCAACGAGCGCAACCCUUAUCCUUUGUUGCCAGCGGUCCGGCCGGGAACUCAAAGGAGACUGCCAGUGAUAAACUGGAGGAAGGUGGGGAUGACGUCAAGUCAUCAUGGCCCUUACGACCAGGGCUACACACGUGCUACAAUGGCGCAUACAAAGAGAAGCGACCUCGCGAGAGCAAGCGGACCUCAUAAAGUGCGUCGUAGUCCGGAUUGGAGUCUGCAACUCGACUCCAUGAAGUCGGAAUCGCUAGUAAUCGUGGAUCAGAAUGCCACGGUGAAUACGUUCCCGGGCCUUGUACACACCGCCCGUCACACCAUGGGAGUGGGUUGCAAAAGAAGUAGGUAGCUUAACCUUCGGGAGGGCGCUUACCACUUUGUGAUUCAUGACUGGGGUGAAGUCGUAACAAGGUAACCGUAGGGGAACCUGCGGUUGGAUCACCUCCUUACCUUAAAGAAGC